rnacentral:rRNA from 1 species
AACGAACGCUGGCGGCAUGCCUAACACAUGCAAGUCGAACGAACCCUUCGGGGUUAGUGGCGCACGGGUGCGUAACGCGUGGGAAUCUGCCCUUUGCUUCGGAAUAACAGUUAGAAAUGACUGCUAAUACCGGAUGAUGUCUUCGGACCAAAGAUUUAUCGGCAAAGGAUGAGCCCGCGUAGGAUUAGGUAGUUGGUGGGGUAAAGGCCUACCAAGCCGACGAUCCUUAGCUGGUCUGAGAGGAUGAUCAGCCACACUGGGACUGAGACACGGCCCAGACUCCUACGGGAGGCAGCAGUGGGGAAUAUUGGACAAUGGGCGAAAGCCUGAUCCAGCAAUGCCGCGUGAGUGAUGAAGGCCUUAGGGUCGUAAAGCUCUUUUACCCGGGAUGAUAAUGACAGUACCGGGAGAAUAAGCCCCGGCUAACUCCGUGCCAGCAGCCGCGGUAAUACGGAGGGGGCUAGCGUUGUUCGGAAUUACUGGGCGUAAAGCGUACGUAGGCGGUUAUUCAGGUCAGAGGUGAAAGCCCGGGGCUCAACCCCGGAACGGCCUUUGAAACUAGGUAGCUAGAGUCUUGGAGAGGUCAGUGGAAUUCCGAGUGUAGAGGUGAAAUUCGUAGAUAUUCGGAAGAACACCAGUGGCGAAGGCGACUGACUGGA